UACAGAGGGGGCAAGCGUUGUUCGGAAUUACUGGGCGUAAAGGGCGCGUAGGCGGCCUUCUAAGUCGAACGUGAAAUCCCCGGGCUCAACCCGGGAACUGCGUCCGAUACUGGAAGGCUUGAAUCCGGGAGGGGGAUGCGGAAUUCCAGGUGUAGCGGUGAAAUGCGUAGAUAUCGUCAAGAACACCGAUAGUGAAGACAGCUAACUAGCUCAAACUGACGCUGAGGCACGAAAGUGUGGGGAUCAAACAGG
rnacentral:rRNA from 1 species